GAGGAGAGCAGUGGGAAGAAGGGAUUAAAGGAAACAGGCCUACAUCCCUUUGCAGCCUUGGUACAAUUCCUUAUUGCAUGCAGUUCUCUCAUAAAGGAGAAGAGGACCAGAAGAGAGAAAUGGAGAUGGUGGGCUCUGGGACCCUUCCACUGCUCCUUCCUCAGUGCCUUAUCUGCAGUGUUUAAUGUUUUUCUUCCAAAUUUAAGAUUUCUAACUCUCAUACUUGGAAAUACAAAGAACUCCCCAGGGCUUACAGGUCAAGGGGCACAGGCCCUAGAGAGGCACAUCAGGGCUCUCUGUCUCCAGCCCCAUGUCCCUUUGCUGCAUCAGCCGCCUCCAUUACCCUCUUCUUUGCUCCCCAUUGCAGCUCACCACUGUUAGACACAUCCCAAUGGCACACUUCUCUUCCCAGGUCCUUCUGGGUGAAUAACUUAAGACUAAGUUUUUACCACUUUGUGAAAUUUUCCUUAUGUUCCUGGCACUGUGUACUGUUGACUCCAGUAAGAUGUGCAGAUAUGUCCAACCCAUAAGCCAUAAGCUGUGACGUAUGGUCAAGGAUAGCUGUGAAUGUGGCCCAACACAAAAUUGUAAACGUAAGA
rnacentral:lncRNA from 1 species